CGGAAAGAGCUGUGGCCCAAGCCCCGCGCCCAGCUUGGGGCACACCCCGCGCUCCCCCGCCUAGCCGCGCUUCGGAAUCUGAAGUGGGGCAGCGCAGGAGGAAAGGGGCAAGGCUGGGUCCGCGUGCUCAGUAGCCUCGCGGCGCUGCUGUGUGCGCAGCCCAGGCAGUGGUGCCUGCCCAGAGCAAAGGGGGGCCGCACACGUGCAGCUGGCGCGAUGCGCCCUGUGCGGCAGCGUUACCGCUGGGGCCUUUCUUCUCUAGCAGAAAAGGUGGGUUUUAAUGUGGCGGACAAGACGUGGUGAAGGCCCCUGUGGACCAGGAGGGGGGAGUUUAACACGCAUGAGCAGGAACUACUACUGCCUUGUCUGCAUGCGGAUUGUACUGGUUGCCACUUCUAUGUGAGCUGACACGUGCUAAAACCCAUCUUUUUUUUCUUAGUGGGGGCACACCUUUACUCGUUAACAGUGCUCCUAGCUCGAGCCCUACUUCACUCUCUGCAGUGAAUCCCCAGUAGAUGACAAGGCGUGAUAAUUUGUUUUCGUUGCAUUCAGUGUUGUGACCUGACUAGGAGCCCGGUGUGCAUGGGAUUUCUCUCUAAAACUUGAUAUGUGCAGCAAUAAGACAAGUGAUUCAGACCUUUGUAACCUCAAGCAUUCAUUUACCCUAGAGUUCUACUUUGGCCUACUUUUGAAGAGCAUGUCAGCUGGCACAAUGCAACAGCUUAAAUUUGAGAUGUAAAAUCUCCUUCAAGAGUCGAACCAAUCCAAAGAAGUUUGUAUCCAUCACAGUUCUCAUCUCAUCUAUGGUCUGGCAUUCAAUAGGUCCAAUGAGCCCCAUUCCAGCAUUGCUAACUGUACAGAUGCAAAACACAGUACCAAGGCGAGUCCGAUUCCUGAGGAGCAACCUGUGAUGAGUACAGUUUUCUGAGCCAUCAUUUUCAGCUGGAUGGCAGCAGAUAUAGU